ACGCUCGACACCUACGGGACAGCAGUGGGGAAUAUUGCACAAUGGGGGAAACCCUGAUGCAGCGACGCCGCGUGAAGGAAGAAGUAUUUCGGUAUGUAAACUUCUAUCAGCAGGGAAGAAGAUGACGGUACCUGACUAAGAAGCCCCGGCUAACUACGUGUCAGCAGCCGCGGUAAUCUGAGCGGGCUGGCAAGGC
rnacentral:rRNA from 1 species